rnacentral:rRNA from 1 species
UACAGAGGGGGCCAGCGUUAUUCGGAAUUACUGGGCGUAAAGCGCACGUAGGCGGCUUGGUAAGUUAGAGGUGAAAGCCUGGAGCUCAACUCCAGAAUUGCCUUUAAGACUGCCGAGCUAGCAGGUGAGAGAGGUGAGUGGAAUUCCGAGUGUAGAGGUGAAAUUCGUAGAUAUUCGGAAGAACACCAGUGGCGAAGGCGGCUCACUGGCUCAUACUGGACGCUGAGGUGCGAAAGCGUGGGGAGCAAACAGG